rnacentral:rRNA from 1 species
UACGUAGGUGGCAAGCGUUGUUCGGAAUUAUUGGGCGUAAAGGGCGCGUAGGCGGUUCGUACAGUCAGACGUGAAAUUCCCGGGCUCAACCUGGGGGCUGCGUUUGAUACGUGCGGGCUUGAGUUCGGAAGAGGGUCGUGGAAUUCCCAGUGUAGAGGUGAAAUUCGUAGAUAUUGGGAAGAACACCGGUGGCGAAGGCGGCGACCUGGUCCGAUACUGACGCUGAGGCGCGAAAGCGUGGGGAGCAAACAGG